GAUGAACGCUGGCGGCGUGCUUAACACAUGCAAGUCGAACGAAGCACUUUAUUUGAUUUCCUUCGGGACUGAUUAUUUUGUGACUGAGUGGCGGACGGGUGAGUAACGCGUGGGUAACCUGCCCUGUACAGGGGGAUAACAGUUGGAAACGGCUGCUAAUACCGCAUAAGCGCACGGCAUCGCAUGAUGCAGUGUGAAAAACUCCGGUGGUAUAAGAUGGACCCGCGUUGGAUUAGCUAGUUGGUGAGGUAACGGCCCACCAAGGCGACGAUCCAUAGCCGACCUGAGAGGGUGACCGGCCACAUUGGGACUGAGACACGGCCCAAACUCCUACGGGAGGCAGCAGUGGGGAAUAUUGCACAAUGGGCGAAAGCCUGAUGCAGCGACGCCGCGUGAGCGAAGAAGUAUUUCGGUAUGUAAAGCUCUAUCAGCAGGGAAGAUAAUGACGGUACCUGACUAAGAAGCACCGGCUAAAUACGUG
rnacentral:rRNA from 1 species